GGGGGUGUUAUUGGAUUCGACAGGCAUGGCCCGAUGUAUGACUACUGCUCGGAGGUUACGUCUUCGCAACAACGUUACCAGUUUAAAUAUAACUGACAAACAAGAAACAAACACUUUAGCUUUCGCUGCCUAAUAACAGCUAGCUAAGAUUCGCCCGGCGUCACCUAUGCGCUGGUUCCGAGUCCUAUUAUAGUAGGUUACGUUCUAAGCUUCCGUCUGGAGCAAGGAAAAGAGAUUAAUCAGACUAGCAAUCUAAUUGGUUUGUUUAUUCACCAUUAGUGCGCAAAUUCGAGAAUAAACUAUAGUGGUAAAAGUUAUAUAAUCGGAGUGUCUGGACAGGGGUUCAAAUCCCCUCACCUCCAUAA
rfam:Aerococcus viridans ATCC 11563 = CCTG 4311 strain ATCC 11563 contig00206, whole genome shotgun sequence.